UGUGCCUACUUCCAGUAUCCCUUGCUCAAUGUAAUGACUUCCAGUUAAUAAUUUAAGUUACUGUAGAUAAGCCUAUGCCAGUUCAACCCUGUUUUUUAAACCUUGCUUAAUCAGACAAAGAUCAUUUAAACUUGAAUUGAAAGUGUAUUCAGGACUACUGAUGGAAGCAGGCAACAAGCCAACAAAUCAUCACAUAAUCUACCAUAGCUCCUGCCCCAACUCUCUCUGGUUCCCAAAGGCAAUGGCACAUAAUCAACAAACUGCACAUGCAGUUUCACACGGGUUUCCAAGGCAGUCUAUGGAAGCCAGGUACUGUAUCCUUCAGAAGGGAACACAGGCUUGUGAGAGGUGGAGGAUUUGCAGUGCCACUGAGCUCUCUCCAGCCAUUAAGGGACUGGCAACACCAGUUACUGAACAGAGAUGAACUUUAAAUAAAGGUGGAGCAGAGACAUCACUGACCAGAGAUGGACACUUUCAUGGCCUUGUCUUGAGAAGAGAUUGGCCAGGGAGCGCAAUUCCUCACCCAGGCUGCACCCAUAACACCCAGUAUAAGAGCUGAGCCACCUUCACCCACAUCCCGGCCGGCCCCGCUCCAAGCAGGCACACUGACUCCCGGCUCCUACGUUGCAGAGACCCCAGGAGCUGCGCCGGGCUCCGACGUGAAAGGCAGAUGGAGCGAGCGCUGAGCCCGCCCCCGGGCCGCUGCUCCGGGGAAAGAGGCGCCCCCCCAGCGGAAACCGCCCGCCCGCAGGGGGCGCAGGCGAGCAGGCCUCCUCCGGCCCCGAGCACCGCGGCGAUCGGUUCUCCAGGGGGCGCGAGGAGCAAGAGGUGCUCGGCGCGGACGUGCCUCCCUCCCGGCAGCGCCAAGCGCCCGCAGGACAGACCCCAGCGGAACGGAACGGAACGGAACCGAACCAGCCCGGCCCUCCCCGGCGGCUCCGCCGCGCCGCUACCUACACGCCAGCCCGCUGCUCCCGCUCGCUCUGCGUACCUGCCGCGCCUGCUACUGAUGUUGCUGCGGAAUGACAUGUCUUGAAUACAGCAGAACGGAUCAGUAAAGGUUUGGCAGAGAUGCACAGACUACAGAAGGCAUCACCACGCUUAGUCAACAGGGCUCCAUAAUGGUUUAGCCCAGCAAUGCUACUCGAUAAUUUACAGCUCUGCCAACCCAUGCAGAUCAGGAAGAGAAACUUCAGUGACACUAUGGGUGUCCCCUGCAAACA
rnacentral:lncRNA from 1 species